CCGCCCAGUAAAAGAUCCACUAUUAGACGCGUUUAAUUCGUUCUCCACAUGGACGUCUUCGUCCCUGGUCAGCGCGCCCGGGCGCCGUCGCCGGCCGGUCGCCACGUGCCCGCAGACUGUAUUGUUCCGCCUGGACCAACAAAUCCCAAAGUCAAACAUAACGUGCAGGCAGCUGCCGCGAUGCGAAUUUGAGCUCCGUAUGUACUCCGUACGUAUAUAAUGUCUGCUUGAGUUCUGUUUUUUUUUUCUUGCUCCUUCGCAAUGUAAUGUAAUUUCUCAUCUGGAACUUGCAGGGCAGCUUCUGUCUCUUGGGUAACAAUGACUGGGUAGCUGUUUUUUUAUUUUCAGAAGAUGGAGUAUUGGGCACUCUGGCGAAAAAAGAAGAAGGACGGACUCGUACGCGGUGUUGGAAAUGCGGUAGAGAAGAAUGAACCGUGCGGUGUAGAAAACAGAGGAUUAAUCUUAGCCGGCAAGCUAAGACGAACCCAAAGCAAAUGUAGCAUGCAUGAGUAAUAAACGAAUAACAUACGGGUCGAAGUACGGAAGAUGGUCACAGUGUGGCGUAUUUUUCAGUUAAGUGAGAAUUAACAAGUCGGAUGAACACACGACCAAGAAUAUGUAUGCACGCCGUUAAGAUGUUUGAAAGCAUGCCUGAUCCAAAAGCAAAUAACGAAGAUAAAGCACUGAUGGAAAAAAUAUACUCAUUCAAGAUGCACUCGAUCACUUCUAACCACGUUGUCUGAAAAGGACAGGUUCUUGCGAGAUGAGCUGACCUGGCUCUGACAAAAGCUGUCCGUUUUUCCAGCGACUCCCGUGUCUCAUUUUUCUGUCU
rnacentral:lncRNA from 1 species